ACGGGAGGCAGCAGUGGGGAAUAUUGCACAAUGGGCGCAAGCCUGAUGCAGCGAUGCCGCGUGAGGGAAGAAGGUUUUCGGAUUGUAAACCUCUGUCCUCAGGGACGAUAAUGACGGUACCUGGGGAGGAAGCUCCGGCUAACUACGUGCCAGCAGCCGCGGUAAUACGUAGGGAGCGAGCGUUGUCCGGAAUUACUGGGUGUAAAGGGUGCGUAGGCGGGACGGCAAGUCAGAUGUGAAAUGUAUGGGCUUAACCCAUGAACUGCAUUUGAAACUGUUGUUCUUGAGUGAGGUAGAGGUAAGCGGAAUUCCUAGUGUAGCGGUGAAAUGCGUAGAUAUUAGGAGGAACAUCGGUGGCGAAGGCGGCUUACUGGGCCUUUACUGACGCUGAGGCACGAAAGCGUGGGGAGCAAACAGGAUUAGAUACCCUGGUA
rnacentral:rRNA from 1 species